rnacentral:rRNA from 1 species
UACAGAGGGUGCAAGCGUUGUUCGGAAUUAUUGGGCGUAAAGCGCGUGUAGGCGGCUUUGCAAGUCGGGUGUGAAAGCCCUCAGCUCAACUGAGGAAGUGCGCCCGAAACUGCAGAGCUUGAGUGCCGGAGAGGGUGGCGGAAUUCCUGGUGUAGCGGUGAAAUGCGUAGAUAUCAGGAGGAACACCGGUGGCGAAGGCGGCCCCCUGGACGGUGACUGACGCUGAGACGCGAAAGCUAGGGGAGCAAACGGG